rnacentral:rRNA from 1 species
UACAGAGGUCUCAAGCGUUGUUCGGAUUCAUUGGGCGUAAAGGGUGCGUAGGUGGCGCGGUAAGUCGGGUGUGAAAUCUCGGAGCUUAACUCCGAAAUUGCAUUCGAUACUACCGUGCUCGAGGACUGGAGAGGAGACUGGAAUUCAUGGUGUAGCAGUGAAAUGCGUAGAGAUCAUGAGGAAGACCAGUGGCGAAGGCGGGUCUCUGGACAGUUCCUGACACUGAGGCACGAAGGCCAGGGGAGCAAACGGG